rnacentral:rRNA from 1 species
AGCGUAGACGGUGUGGCAAGUCUGAUGUGAAAGGCAUGGGCUCAACCUGUGGACUGCAUUGGAAACUGUCAUACUUGAGUGCCGGAGGGGUAAGCGGAAUUCCUAGUGUAGCGGUGAAAUGCGUAGAUAUUAGGAGGAACACCAGUGGCGAAGGCGGCUUACUGGACGGUAACUGACGUUGAGGCUCGAAAGCAUGGGGAGCAAACA